rnacentral:rRNA from 1 species
GGCCGCGGGAAUUAGAUUCAGGCCUAACACAUGCAAGUCGAACGGCAGCACGGAGCUUGCUCUGGUGGCGAGUGGCGAACGGGUGAGUAAUAUAUCGGAACGUACCCUGGAGUGGGGGAUAACGUAGCGAAAGUUACGCUAAUACCGCAUCCGAUCUACGGAUGAAAGUGGGGGAUCGCAAGACCUCAUGCUCGUGGAGCGGCCGAUAUCUGAUUAGCUAGUUGGUAGGGUAAAAGCCUACCAAGGCAUCGAUCAGUAGCUGGUUUGAGAGGACGACCAGCCACACUGGAACUGAGACACGGUCCAGACUCCUACGGGAGGCAGCAGUGGGGAAUUUUGGACAAUGGGCGAAAGCCUGAUCCAGCAAAGGCGCGUGAGUGAAGAAGGCCUUCGGG